GUGGCCGGACGCCUUGUCGGGGAGGGGCCACGCCGUCCCUGCAGGGCACCCGCCUGCUGGAUGGAGGCUCUGGAUCCCAGGUUCGAGCCCCCUGUCCAUAUGAAGCUUUUUCGAGCCCUGCUGUCUGCUGUCCGUGGAGAUGAUGGGGAGCCCGCAGUGAAGGCCAAGCAGCGGGAGGCCCAAGGACUUGUAGUCAGGAGGCCCGGCUGAAUAUCCCCUCACAGGCCCUGGUCCCGGGUUCAACCCCCAGCAAGAACCCACCUAACAGACCUGCGGCUGCUCCGUCUAUGGCCCGGCUCCUUUUGGACCGGCAGAGCACAUGAAGAAGCCCUCGCCCCCCUGCCACAGCGCUCCGGACUCGGUCUGCGGGAACAGGAACACGACUGCGGCAGACGGACAGACGCAUCCCAGAGUCACCUGUGCCCGCCUACCCGCCAGCCCCCGAGCCGCUCCACCCCGCUCCGUGCGCAAACCUCAGCAGGCACGGGCUUCGGGCCAGGAGAGGAAGCCCGCACCUGGAGGCGGGGAAGCAGAUCUACAGGUGUCUUUCUCUUUCCCUGUCUUCCCAUCCUCUCUCCAUUUCUCUCUGUCCUGUCCAACAAUGACGACAAUAAUAACUACAAGGGCAACAAAAGGGAAUAAAUAAAUAUUAAAAAAAAAGUUUGAGCCCCGGCUCCCCAGCUGCAGGGCAGUUGCUUCACAGGCAGUGAGGCAGGUCUGCAGGUGUCUGUCUUUCUUUCUUCUGUCUUCCCUCCUCUCUCGAUUUCUGUCUUAUCCAACAACAGCAACAACAAUAAGGGUAACACAGUGAGGAAAGUGGCCUCCAGGAGCAGUGGAUUCAUAGUGUAGGCACCGAGAAGAGUGAAUUCUUGGUGACACAGAUUCAGGCUUGUGUUUCUGCGGAGGCCCAGCACAGGUGCCUGUAUUCUGGGCACAUCUGAGCACAGUCUGUACAAAUGAUGCCAGUGAGCAAAGUUGCCAGGAGCCCGGGUGGGGGCAUGCCUGGUUGAAUGCAUAUUACAGUGUGCAAGGACCCGGGUUCGAGCCCCCAAACCCCACCUGCAGGAGAAACUUCACAAAUGGUGAAGCUGGGCUGCAGAUGCUUCUCCGUCUCCCCCUCUCCAUUUCUGGCGG